CCUUUCUUCUAUUUAUCAAGCAAGAGUGAAAAGCAAGAUAAACAUCAUAACUCUGAAUCUAUAAUCUUCUUAACAUGAAGGAGAAAUCAAAAGAUGUCACUAUACACUUCAAAAUACAAUGGUCUCCCUCAAUGCCUCUAAGUUCUCAAACUAUAUGACCCAGCUCAAAAUUAAAAUUAGAGAUUCUUUUGCUACGGGAGCAGAGCAUUGUUCCCACUCAUUUGGUAAGUUGGUAAGUUUUAGGAUGGAAUGUUCUUAAGAAGCCCUACAUUCUGAAAAAGAUUGAGAUACUGUAUAUAUUUCUCAACAGUGACUCCAAUGGAUAAAGUUUUCAUUACUGCUGAUUUUUUCAAAGUCCCCAAAGACAUGCUCAUUUAUGUCUUUAAAUGGUGCUUUUAAAAUAUGAUGAACUGGAUUGUGAGACACACAAAUGUAGGCGAAGUAAAAAUUAGUCCAUAAGGUGCCAUAAGAUAGCUGUUUUUUGCCAAGACAGUAAAGAGCAAUCUCUUUAAUCUUGUAGAUUUGGUUGAUUGAGUUGGGUUAAAAAGAAAAAAGAAACAAGUGCUUCUGUGUAAGAUAUCUUACACAUAAAUCUAAUUCUUUGGAGGUUGGAUGAGAAAAAGCCAGUAGUUAACGUGAUGAACAAUGCCUUCGGGGUUCAUUGAGUGGCCAGCGGACUUCGCAAAGCUGUGAGGAUAAAAUGAGGAGAACUUUAUUACUACUAUGAAUUGCAAGGGUACAAGUGAGACAUGAAUGUGACCGUCAAGUUUAUUUGGGCAGGCAGGAAUUUGAUGGUGAAAUGGCAUAUAAAUGUUAAUUACAAGAGAGAAGAGGAAAAUUAUUACGCCAACAGAGGAAAGGAUAUGGAUAAUGCCAUCUAGUAUUAAAAAACUGCAGUUAAAUCUACAAUAAAGGAGCUUUUACUGACUGAUUGAGACAGACCUCCUGGAUGUUCGAUUGUUAACCUGACCCUUCAGGGAAAGAAGAUAAUCAAGACUGAGUUGCUGCUUUUCUUCCCUUUUUAAUCAAGUGUCUGCCACAACAAAAGACAUUAUGGAAGAGGAACAAGUUCUACCUGAUAAGAUUGAGACUGAAUUGAAAGUAGAUUUUAAAGUGACAGAUUACAAGAAUGAUAUGGAAAAAUAUACACUACUAGAUACACAGAAGAAACUGGCUGAUGUCUUAAUAAUUUAAAAAACCAACAGGGUAAACUGAAUAAUUUUCCUAUAAUGGAUUUAUGAAAGAAGCUUUUUAAACCUUUGAAGAAUUUUGUGAGAAGGGAAAAAGAAAAAAAGAAGAAGAAAAAGCCCCAGGUUCUAUGACAUUAUUUGAAGGAUCUAAAUAUUAAGUUUGUUAGAAGUAAAAGGAAGGAAUAUAAAGUUUAUUUAUUUGAUCAAGGAUAAAAUAGAUAUAUUAUCUCUAGCUAUACUUAAAGGAUUUUUGCUGAAACAGGACUGAAAUUAUAAGGUCAUGGAUUUGUUUGUAGAUAAAGGAGAAAUCAUUUUAAAUGAAAUUGAUGGGUUAUUAAAAUUGUUUACAUUUGUGAUGAGAGUGGGAAGUCACUUCUAUUUUUUAUUAUUUUUUCCCUUUCUACAUCUCUUUCUAUUUUUCCCUUUUCUUUCAUUUCUGCACUUUUUCUUUUUUUUUUUUUUUAGUUUGUUAGUUUUUAUUGUUGGGAUUAUAAUUCUUAAUGAAAUUGCUAUUUAAAAAUAGAGAUCCUUAGAAUGACAAAUUUGUAAUGUCAUUGGACUUUACAUCUUCAAUUCAUAUCCGUCAUAUCUUCAAUUCUUCACCAAAGAAAACAAGCUUAAGAACUUAAAGAAUUUAAAAUAUAUAGGAAAAAAACUAAUAUUUGGAUAUAAAAAACUUAGAAACAAAUUAAGUAUACAGAUAAAUUUGGAAUUUUGACUUUUAUUAUAAGAUUUUGAAAUUACUGCAACUAUAAAAAAUAAAUAGCUUCUUAUGGUAAACAAA